AGGGCUAGAGGAUCGACCUUGCAGGUUUGCGGUGAGAGGCGCACUAUGAGUCUUUCCCUAGCGACAGCGCUCUACGCCGACGCCACGCGGCUCUACCGCCUCGGUGACCUUCACCACGCACGCGGCGCGGCGGAAGAGGCUCUCCUUUCACUGUCACAUAGUCCGCACAGCGACAUCAGCGACCACACCAACCAUCGCCAUGGAGGCGUCCAUCACGAAGAGGCCGCUGAUAGCGUCUCGGUCGGCUGCGAAGGCUCACAAGCUCAACAGCGUCAGCGCCACCGACUCUUCGGCAACACCCUCCUGCUCCUAUCGAGCAUCUACAUGGCUGUGCACGACUACGCCGAGGCGGAGAGACUGCUUGUGACGUGCGACGGGUACUGGAGGGAGCGCCUGACCAGCACACACACGAGGCUUUCAUCUGCUGGCACAUCUGCAGAAGUGGAGUGCGCGUGCUGUAGUGAGCUGGACGAGGGACUGGCUGGUGUCGCGUACAACCGUGCUGUGCUUCGCCUUGAACAGCUUCGGCGCACCCCAUCCUCGCCAGCCCGUCGCGGCGACGGUGAACUGUGGGUCGCGCCACCGGCUGACCUGUGCGGCGCUGAUGCACGUCUGACACAUUCGUUGAUACCUCCAUCCUCUACUGCAGCUACUUCAGGUACGCCAGAGACGCUGCUUGCGAGCGCAAUGGCGCUGCUGCUGGACGCACAGGAGCGGCUCGCGCACACGCUCGGGCCGCCCCGUGGUCUUCUCGCCGACGUCCUGCACACCAUCGGCGUCUGCCACUACGAGGCGGCCGACUACAUCGCUGCGCUGCAAGCGUGGCAGCGCUCCAUGGCGAUUCGCGUGCAUCUUCACGCGCUGCGCCGCCGCAGCGACAAGAACGCUGCUCAACGCACGCUUCGUGGAGGCGGCGGCGGCGAGUGCGGUGACGGUACUGAGGAGCUGAAGCUGGCUUUGACAAUGGAACACGUGGCGCAGGUGUACCGACUGCUGGAGGGUCGAUCCGUCGAGGCGCUGAAGCUGCUAGAUACAGUGGCAGCCACGCGACGGAGGUACGUUGGCCCCACAGAUCCGCUGUGUGCCCGCACGCUGGUGCUCAAAGGCGUUCUGGCAGCAGAGCUCGGCCACACAAAGCUCGCCCGCGCACUGUUGGGCAGGUGCAGCGCCAUCUACGGUGACGCUGGCUCGGAGACCCCACCUCCCAGUAACUAUGCCUGCGCGGUGCAGGAGGUGAAGUAGUGGCGACUGCAACCCCGCGCCACCCUCCCCGUCUUCUCCGUCUUCCCUUUCUUCCCACCUCCUCUCGAGCACGCACCGGAAGGGAAGCGCUCGAGGGAGCCGCGCUGGGGUAGAUGGUCAGUGUUGAUAGAUCUGAUUUCCACCAUAGAGACUCCACGGGCUGCCGUGGCACGAUGCUGAACUGCUUGCAGAGGACAUGCAUUCUCACAAACCAGCGACAGUAUGGUGAACUGCGCUAACCGCCGCUGAGGCGGUAGGGAGCCGUGUAUGAAGGCGCCACCGGCACCGCGUCCGCCUUUCUCGCGUUGAUCUUUUGAGGAUACAAAGGGAAUGGAAGAGGAUGCUGGCGGAUGGCCACGCCGCUGCUUGCUCCGCACGAUGGCGGCCGACAUGUCUGUGGGCGUGUGCGUGCAGGUGUGUCAUGUCUAGAGAAGAGAGAGGGACGCAGAAACUCACUGGAGUGCUUCCUUUUUUCUUAUCUCUUGUCUCAUGCUUGCACCUCGCCUGCUGCCUCUCUCAAACCCUUACUUCUUUCACGCCUCUCAUCGCUCAUGCGGGAUCUGCGUCUCUGACCACCCCUGCAG
rnacentral:misc_RNA from 1 species